UGUAACUCUCCCGCAGGACAUCAGAAAACCCCGAAACACUAAGUAACAUUUUGGCCCGAUAUUGACCCUACCUAAUAAGGGCCCUAUCCGUUAAAGGCAGUGACGGAGCCAAUUAAGGGACAUGGGGUGACAGUUGUCCCCCCAAUUUAAAAAAAAAAAUUAAAUAAAAAAGAAAAGAAAAAAAGAAAAAAAGAAAAAAAAAAAAAAAAGGUGGCCCGUUCAUUUCUCUUCUGCAAGCCGCUCGACGCUCGUUCAUUUCUCUUCUUCAACCUCGCUCCUCCCUCCUCUCCAUAAAGUCGUACCUUGAAUUAUUCAUUGAAGCCGUACUUUAAAUUCUCCAUUGAAGCGGCUUCUGAGCCUUCCAUUCUGCAAUGAAUCAGCUUCUCAGGUGAAACAGGUAUGUCGAAUUUCAAUCAGUGAACCAUAUAAUGUGCCGAAGCUUUCAUCCUCGCAAUUAGUUAAGCAUCAUUUGAAGAAUUUCCCAUCAUAAAGAAAGAGAUCGAGAAAUAAGAGGUUUAUGUAGGUAUAUUUACUGCAUGUUUGUCAUUAUAUAUACUGCAUAGUUUUUAAUAAUUUUUUCAUCAAUAUUGAGUUUUGUACCCGGGUUUUAAUAUAUUAUCAUGUCUAGAGCAACAUUUUAAAUCUGCAUUGCCUAGUAUUUCUCUUAAGAAUUGAAACUUGAAUGUUGGGUUGAAUCGCAAAAGAAGACUCAUGAGAGCAUCAACAACAUAUUGGCUCUUGUUAUGAAGAGUGGAAAGCACACUCUUGGUUACAAGGCUGUUCUCAAAACCCUCAGAUCUUCUAAAAGUUUGUUUUCUAUAAACCCUAAUAACCUAAUUUUUUUUGGGUGUUUGUUAAUUUGAUAUGGGUUUAUCGUA